AUCGUCAUAGAUUAGUGGUAGAUCGCGAGGCUCAUAAUCUCGAGGCAUUGGUUCAAUUCCAAUUGACGGUA
rnacentral:tRNA from 1 species